UGCAAACAAAGCACCAUUAAGAUUUAGCUGCAGGAAACCUGUGGGCAUCAGCCUCUCAGGUCUGGACCAAGAAGCAAUAAGAGACACAAAAGAAGAACAAGGCAAAUGUGAUACUCAGAUUAAUGGCCGAGAUAUACAGUACUGGUGGGUUAAUUGGCUUCUGGAGAAAAUUGGCCCACACAAAACCUGGUUUGAGUGCGGUAUGAGUGUCUCGGCUCUCCCAGAACCUGUGUUGUGAAAAAGCAAUUAGAAAAUGGAUUGAUGGAUUUUCUGUUUUUGUAACUGAAUCUUGCUUUAAGAAAUGGCGGGACGGGACUGAUAAUCUACUAAAAACCAUUUUAGAUUGGUGAGUCAAUCCGGGCUCUUCUCAGCUUGUAACCUGUCCUAAGAGAACUGAGGGAAAAAGGUGGUGAGGAAUUUCAAGAGACUCAGUGUGACAGUAGCUUGAAAAUAUUUAUUGCCAGAACACACAAAAACUGAAUGAGUCAGAGCACAUCAUAGGAGGAAAUGAAAUAACUGGAAGUUUAGGAUACACACCCCACUUCUAAAACGCAAAGUUCCAUAAACAUUUAUACAUUUUUUUUUCAAAGACUGACUCAUUCACAUAGAAAUGACAGAAACGUUUCUUUCUACAUGCUUCUUAUUGCAACACAUCUGCCUUAAAACACUGAAACAGGAAUCCCUAAAUUAAUGACUUGCAGAAUAUGACUGAGGAAUUAAAUAUAAUUCACUGAAGAAGUAAACAUUGAACCUCUUUCCCAGUAACAUUUGUGGCUAGCCCAGAAAAUUUAUAGAUAACUUCCUCUUCUUCUUCAAUGCAGCAGACCUUAUAGAAUGGAUUAAUUGAAUACUAACUGCCAAAAUGUAAUCAUAAUAAUGAUCUUUUUGUACUGUGUCUUCCAAAACUCAAACCGCAGUCCCUUUUUUUAAAGAAAAAUAGAAAACCACUAGAUAAACCAUAAUAGUAUAAACAGUAUCUUCUUUUAGAUUUACAGGUGUCUGAAAUCAUAACAACUGCCUGGACUGCAAUAACUGCACAAAGUUAUCUUUUCAAUGAAAAUUACAUUCAUCAUGAAUAUAUUACAUUGGAACAUACUGUAGCACUCAGACAGGUAAUCUACAUGAGGAAACCGUAUAUAAAAUGUAUCAAUUUGGCUGUUAACAGUUCACGAAUACAUUAAAAUAAACAGAGAUCUCAUCACUGCUUCAAAAGCAACAGACAACAUUUUCUGUUUUAAUUUAAAAUAAAGUCCAAAUUACAUGACUAAAUUUACCCUAGUUACCUACAGUACAUGUUGUACUCAGCCUGUAAAUUAAAGUUUGUAAGUAGAUAGAACAUAUUUUGUUUCAGUAACAAAGAGGAUUGAACCAUAUUAUUAAAAAUCAAUCCCAAUAAAUCACAUGACUACAUGAUGAAUUCACAGUGAACAAAAACACAUGGGAGAACUUAAUCCAUUCUGUUUCACACUAUGUAAAUUACUUUUCGGUUUUUGAAGUGCUUUAAAUAAACAAAGUGAAAAUACAGAGGAGAAAGAGAUUAUCACUGUCAUAGUGAUAUGGAAUCCCAUGUUUUCCUGAAAGAAAAGAAGAUGUUGAGGAAGAAAUAGGUGAAUGAGGAGAAUCUUCCCUUACCUACAACCUUACAGUACGUGCCAUUAUGUGCUGGCAGCCAUAUCACCCUGCAACUCACAACUGGCUACCCACUGAAGCUAAGCAGGUGUGAGCCUGGUCAGUACCUUGAUGGGAGACCUCCUGGGAAAAACUAAGGUUGCUGCUGGAAGUGGUGUUAAAUAUAGAUUUAACUAUAUUGCUCACUCUGUGGUCCACGUGGGUCCUAAUGCCCGGAAUUGCCGAGAGUCGGAUCCGACUGACCGGAUAACAUCAUCAUCAUAUUCUGGACUGUGAGCAACUCCACUUAGUGCACUUCUCACUGAUUGGAUUGUAUGUAUUGUAUUCUUGUAUUAUUGUAUCAUUUCGUUACACUGUU